rnacentral:rRNA from 1 species
UACGUAGGGACCAAGCGUUGUUCGGAUUUACUGGGCGUAAAGAGCGCGCAGGCGGCCAAGUCAGUCGAAUGUGAAAGCCCCCGGCUUAACUGGGGAGGGUCAUUCGAUACUGCUCGGCUCGAAGACAGGAGAGGGAAGUGGAAUUCCCGGUGUAGUGGUGAAAUGCGUAGAUAUCGGGAGGAACACCAGUGGCGAAGGCGACUUUCUGGCCUGUUCUUGACGCUGAGGCGCGAAAAGCUAGGGGAGCAAACGGGG